rnacentral:rRNA from 1 species
GAGUGAACGCUGGCGGUAGGCCUAACACAUGCAAGUCGAACGGCAGCACAGUAAGAGCUUGCUCUUACGGGUGGCGAGUGGCGGACGGGUGAGGAAUACAUCGGAAUCUACUUUUUCGUGGGGGAUAACGUAGGGAAACUUACGCUAAUACCGCAUACGAUCUACGGGUGAAAGCAGGGGAUCUUCGGACCUUGCGCGAUUGAAUGAGCCGAUGUCGGAUUAGCUAGUUGGCGGGGUAAAGGCCCACCAAGGCGACGAUCCGUAGCUGGUCUGAGAGGAUGAUCAGCCACACUGGAACUGAGACACGGUCCAGACUCCUACGGGAGGCAGCAGUGGGGAAUAUUGGACAAUGGGCGCAAGCCUGAUCCAGCCAUACCGCGUGGGUGAAGAAGGCCUUCGGGUUGUAAAGCCCUUUUGUUGGGAAAGAAAAGCAGCAGGUUAAUACCCCGCUGUUCUGACGGUACCCAAAGAAUAAGCACCGGCUAACUUCGUG